UAGUUUGAUCUGGCUCAGGAUGAACGCUGGCGCCUUGCUUAACACUUGCUAGUCGAACGAACGACUAUUAACACCACCUUUUCGGGGCGAAGAUGAUAGAAGUUAGUGGCGGACGGGUGCGUAACGCGUGGGUAAUCUGCCUUUGUCAAAGGAAUAACUAUUCGAAAGAAUAGCUAAAACCGUAUAAAAUAUUAAUAGGGCAUCCUAAUAAUAUCAAAACUGAGGUGGACAAAGAUGAGCCCGCGUCUGAUUAGCUAGUUGGUGAGAUAAAAGCCCACCAAGGCAACGAUCAGUAGCCGACCUGAGAGGGUGAACGGCCACAUUGGAACUGAGACACGGUCCAAACUCCUACGGGAGGCAGCAGUGGGGAAUAUUGCACAAUGGGGGGAACCCUGAUGCAGCAACGCCGCGUGAGUGAAGAAGGCAUUCGUGUCGUAAAACUCCGUAGUAGGGGAAGAAAGAAAUGACAGUACCCUAAAAGAAAGCCCCGGCUAACUACGUGCCAGCAGCCGCGGUAAUACGUAGGGGGCAAGCGUUAUCCGGAAUAACUGGGCGUAAAGGGUGCGCAGGUGGUUUAACAAGUUAGUGUUGAAAGGCAUAGGCUCAACCAAUGUAUGCCAUUAAAACU
rnacentral:rRNA from 1 species